CGCUGGCGGCGUGCUUAACACAUGCAAGUCGAACGGGAAAUAUUUCAUUGAGACUUCGGUGGAUUUGAUCUAUUUCUAGUGGCGGACGGGUGAGUAACGCGUGGGUAACCUGCCUUAUACAGGGGGAUAACAGUCAGAAAUGGCUGCUAAUACCGCAUAAGCGCACAGAGCUGCAUGGCUCAGUGUGAAAAACUCCGGUGGUAUAAGAUGGACCCGCGUUGGAUUAGCUUGUUGGUGGGGUAACGGCCCACCAAGGCGACGAUCCAUAGCCGGCCUGAGAGGGUGAACGGCCACAUUGGGACUGAGACACGGCCCAGACUCCUACGGGAGGCAGCAGUGGGGAAUAUUGCACAAUGGGGGAAACCCUGAUGCAGCGACGCCGCGUGAAGGAAGAAGUAUCUCGGUAUGUAAACUUCUAUCAGCAGGGAAGAUAGUGACGGUACCUGACUAAGAAGCCCCGGCUAACUACGUGCCAGCAGCCGCGGUAAUACGUAGGGGGCAAGCGUUAUCCGGAUUUACUGGGUGUAAAGGGAGCGUAGACGGUGUGGCAAGUCUGAUGUGAAAGGCAUGGGCUCAACCUGUGGACUGCAUUGGAAACUGCCAUACUUGAGUGCCGGAGGGGUAAGCGGAAUUCCUAGUGUAGCGGUGAAAUGCGUAGAUAUUAGGAGGAACACCAGUGGCGAAGGCGGCUUACUGGACGGUAACUGACGUUGAGGCUCGAAAGCGU
rnacentral:rRNA from 1 species